UCCUAAAACCAAUUUUUAUACAAAUUCCUAACCCCAAAAGCCUCUAAAUCCCUUUUCGGCACAAUAACCCCACCAUCAUCCUUGUCCAUCGUCUUCAGCAUAGUACCCCCGCCAUUUUUUCUUCUUCUUCUUUUUUUUGUUUGUAAAAUGUAGGUUCGUUGUUGUGGGAAGAUCGUUUUUCUCGCCUUCUUUGGGGAAACCUGGAACACUUGGUAGUGGAACGGAUUACUGGAGGGGCUAUUACCAGAGCCUUCGCCCAACUCAGAUGGAUGUGUCGACCAGGGCAUUUUAUGAGCCUAUUCUUGCGAUUGAUUUCAUUGAAAGUCAUUUUAGGGCCAAUCCUUCCAGGCCGAAUCAAGCCAUGGUUUAUGAUUCAAUCGCCGCCGUGCUGAUUCCCUCCGCCGCAAACACUAGGAAUCCGAGGAAGAAGAAGAGGGUUCGAUUUUUUUCAAUUCGAUUUCGAUUUUAAACGAACCUACCUUUUACAGAAAAAAAAGAAGAAAAAAUGGUGGGGGUACUGUGCCGAAGACGAUGAGAGAGGGAUUCAGAGGCUUUUGUGGUUAGGGAUUUGUAUAAAAAUUGGUUUUAGGGUUUUUUUCAAGGUAAUUUUUUAUUACCACAUAUGGAUUAAAAAAACACAAUUCAAGAUGACUCUCAGACAUUGACACGUGACAGUCAACAUCACUACCUAACGGUCAACGUCCAAUUGUGACAUCGAGGGAUCAAUAUUGCAUUUUUUUACAAAAUAAAGGAUCCAAUUCGUAAAUUAAA